rnacentral:rRNA from 1 species
UCUCAAAGAUUAAGCCAUGCAUGUCUAAGUACAUGCCGCAUUAAGGCGAAACCGCGAAUGGCUCAUUAAAUCAGUUACGGUUUACUAGAUGUUGACUAUCCUACAUGGAUAACUGUGGUAAUUCUAGAGCUAAUACAUGCACAAAAACCGCGACUCUUGGCCGUUAAACGUUGAGGGAAGCGGUGCACUUAUUAGACCAAGACCAAUAGUGUGCCCGCAAGGGUGCACUUCCUUUGGUGGUGACUCUGGAUAAUUGAUGCUGAUCGCAUGGCCCACGUGCCGGCGACGAAUCUUUCAAGUGUCUGCCUUAUCAACUGUCGAUGGUGGGUUACAUGCCUACCAUGGUUGUAACGGGUAACGGGGAAUCAGGGUUCGAUUCCGGAGAGGGAGCCUGAGAAACGGCUACCACAUCCAAGGAAGGCAGCAGGCGCGCAAAUUACUCAAUCCCAGAGCGGGGAAGUAGUGACGAAAAAUAACAAUACGGGACUCUUUUGAGGACUCGUAAUUGGAAUGAGUACAAUCUAAAUCCUUUAACGAGGAUCAAUUGGAGGGCAAGUCUGGUGCCAGCAGCCGCGGUAAUUCCAGCUCCAAUAGCGUAUAUUAAAGUUGUUGCGGGUAAAAAGCUCGUAGUUGGAUCUCUUCUCUGUUGGUGGGUGGUCUUCCUCAUUCUGGAAGUUACUGCCUCACCCGAGAAACACUUUACUGAGUCCGGCCGCGAGGUCGGGUUCCCGUGUCAUCGUGCCCUUCACCGGGUGCGGUGGCCGCUCAGUAGUUUUACUUUGAAAAAAUUAGAGUGCUCAAAGCAGGCGACUGCCCGCAAGGGUGUUGCCCGAAUAAUGUUGCAUGGAAUAAUGGAAUAGGAUCUCGGUCUUGUUCUGUUGGUCUUUGUGCGCGCCCCGCGAGGGGAGCGCACUCUCGAGACAUUCGAGAUAAUGAUUAAGAGGGACAGACGGGGGCAUUCGUAUUGCGGCGCUAGAGGUGAAAUUCUUGGACCGCUGCAAGACGAACUACAGCGAAAGCAUUUGCCAAGAAUGUUUUCAUUAAUCAAGAACGAAAGUUAGAGGUUCGAAGGCGAUCAGAUACCGCCCUAGUUCUAACCAUAAACGAUGCCAACCAGCGAUCCGCCUGAGUUAUGUAUUUUAGCGACUCGGCGGGCAGCUUCCGGGAACCCAAAGUUUUUCGGUUCCGGGGGAAGUAUGGUUGCAAAGCUGAAACUUAAAGGAAUUGACGGAAGGGCACCACCAGGAGUGGAGCCUGCGGCUUAAUUUGACUCAACACGGGGAAACUCACCCGGCCCGGACACUGGAAGGAUUGACAGAUUGAGAGCUCUUUCUUGAUUCAGUGGGUGGUGGUGCAUGGCCGUUCUUAGUUGGUGGAGUGAUUUGUCUGGUUAAUUCCGAUAACGAACGAGACUCUAGCCUACUAAAUAGUUGUUGCGCUAGGGGAGACUUGCGGGUGGUUCCGGCUCUCGGGUCGGAGCCGCUCACAGCGACCCCCGCUUCGCGUAGCACGUACUUCUUAGAGGGACUGGCGGCGUUUCAGCCGCACGAAACAGAGCAAUAACAGGUCUGUGAUGCCCUUAGAUGUCCGGGGCCGCACGCGCGCUACACUGAAAGGAUCAGCGUGCUUCUAGUUUACACCUGCUCCGAAAGGAGUGGGGAACCCCUUGAACCCUUUUCGUGAUUGGGAUAGGGCCUUGUAAUUGUUGCCCUUGAACGAGGAAUUCCCAGUAAGCGCGAUUCAUCCAGAUCGCGUUGAUUACGUCCCUGCCCUUUGUACACACCGCCCGUCGCUACUACCGAUUGAAUGAUUGGGUGAACUCUUCGGAGUCGAUUCUAGUUGGUUCCCUUCGCGGGGUUCCGAUCUGAGUUGGCGAAGAUGCGUAAACUCGAUCAUUUAGAGGAAGUAAAAGUCGUAA